UUAAAUGUAUUUUCGUAAUGGAGUUAAAGUAUUUUGGGAGGUUUGAAAAUUGAAUUGAUUUUUUCUAAGAUAUUAGAAUUGAAUAAUGGACCAGUUAUGUUUAAAGAAAAACAUAUGUAUAAAAACAUAUAGGUCAAACAAGCAUAAAUGUAACAUUUAACACACUAACAAUAUACAACGCCUCCUAACAUACGUGUGACCUUUUAAGUCAAAGGUAAGCCUAACGUUUGAGGGAUAUAUAUAUCAUUUGUAAAUCGUUCCAUUGACCCAAAAAUAUUUAUACAAAACUUAUGAAUAAAAUAAAUAGGGAUACACAAUAGAGGAAAGGGAAAUAAAUAUCAGUCCCACGUAGGGGUACAAUGGUAAACUAAGCUAAGCUUCGAUAUGAAUCUUCAUUCCCGAACUUCUUGAAGCUUUUUAAAUUCUUCUUGAUGAGGAGAGUCUUCACUUGAAUUAAACAAACAAACUACCUAUAAAAAUAAAGAUCCCAACCCCAAAGGACAAUGGUACUUACAAAUCGACAUACAUAUCCUUCAAAUUUAACAAAUAAUUGAAUGAUCGUCUUAUAUUGACCGAGGGUGAAUUUGACUCAAGGGGGUCUUAUAAUGGGUCCAAUACACCUUUGGUAUUGGAUCAUCUUAGGUUAAUGCGCCUAAAAAGGGUUUUGGUUGAGCUCUAACUUAGUUGACUAAGAGUGGCUUUUGAAGGACCGGGAGCCUAAGCGGACAACUUAGGCUGAAAUUCACGAUAACUAUUGAACACAUGACGAACAAAUAAAUUAUCAGUAAUUCCAAAAAAAGGUUGAGUAUAAAAAGUCUGGUUGCAGUUUCGCAAACCAUUCUUUAAUAUACUGUACAUAUAAUAUCAGAAGAUACCAUGAAUGCAAUAUAAUAGUUAAUAAUCAAAAUUUAAACACAAUUGCAUCAAAUAACAAUUAAUACAAUAAUAGUUAGCCAAAUAAUAAAAUCCUUUGGGUUAGAACCUAGAUGAAUCCCUAGCAGAGUUGUCAUUCUGUUACGACCCGGUUUCAAAAACUGAAAAGGUUUCAAAGACGAUUUCGCAACUUUGGUCAAUUUUUUGUUGUGUUUUUGGAAAAAAAAAAUUUUAGGAAGUCACCACUUAUUGUUUAGGAAAAAAAUAAGAAAAUCAUUUAAAAGGAGAUUUUUGAAAGAAAACAUUUAAAACCAAAGUCGGGUAAGGGUUCAAAUAAUUCUUUAAGGAAGGGUUUAGGCGCCUUAGAGAAUCCGCUAACACGCGGAUGACCGACGGAUUUUAAAGUUUGGCUAAUAUUUAAGAAAAAACUUAAGGUCACUUGUUAAGUAAGGAAGAUGUUUAAGGUGUAAAAACCGUCGAAAAUAUUUUUUGACUUAAUAAUUUAUCCGAGUUAUUAUUUUGAACCAAAUGGCUAGUUCAAAUUCAUAAAACAUGGAUUCAAAGCUUUUUAAUAAAUAUGAAAGAACAUACAUAGUUCUUCAGUUAUUCCAUAAGCUUAAGUCGCCUAAAAAUAAACUGUGUUAACAAAUCCAACUCCUUGAAAAGGAAUUUGAUAAAGGGAAAAACUAAAUAAUGUUAAACUCAUAUGAGGAUUCAUCCAAGCCAAUAAAAUGUUAGAGAAUGUUAGCAAUCACAACAAUAACAAUAAUAAAAAGGAAGUAACAUAAACAGAGAAUCCAAAACUGAAAAUUUCAGCCCCAAUCAAACUAUUUUAGGGGGCUAAAAUUGUUGUCUUUUGCCGCUGAGAUCUAAGGCCUUCGACCCAAAAUGCUUUCUGUUCCUGUUGUGAUUUUCUCUGACUUUAAAGUCGAAAAGAAAGUCGUUUUAACACUUUGAAACUGCUACAAUUCUGCCUAAUUUCAGCUGUUCAAAUUGCGGCCAAUUUGAACGGAAAACACUUUCAUUUUCAGCUAUUUUGAGUUGUGGUUGCUGCUUGUUUUUUUGGCUUCUCUUUCACUACUUAAAGAGGGUUGACUCAGAGAGGAAAAUGCAGGAGAUGGGGAGUCCAAAUGGACUCAAAUGAGAGAAUUUAUGAAAAAGAAAAAUUAAAUUGCUAAACAACCAACUUAAACUAGACAUAUAUUUAUAACUCUGGAAAUUAUAAAAUAAGAGUACUGCUAACAGUGGUCACAAAAGAUAGAGACUAAAUGAAUGAAAGAAGCAACGGUAAAAUUCAAAAGAAGAAAAGCGUAACAACAAAAAAACACAAAUUUGAAUAAAUCUGUUUUAAGGACGAACCAUAUUCUUAUGGAAUCUAAGUUAAAAUGCCAAUCAACAUGUCAUUAUCUCAAAAUUUCAUUCAAUAACAGAAACCAUAUUAACACUAAAAUAAAUGAAAGAAAAGGGAGCAUAGAAUGAAAAUCACAUAAGAUCAAUUGACAUGUAUUAACAUAAAUAUGCGAAGGGUAGUGGAAAUAACAGAUCAUAGCAAAGACUUCAAGGAAUUCCAGGCUAACAUGUUUAGUUUCUUUAAACUGACACGAGUAUUAUAUACAAAAAAGCAAAGAACGAACUCUACUAUUUCUGGAAAAAUGAGCAAACCAAUAAUCAAUCAGGAUUAGUAACGCAUGGCCUGACACAUGAGCUCUCAAAUAGAACAUCUAAACUAAUAAUUAGCUAAUAGUAAGAAAUCCAAAACCAAGCCAAUGUACACAAUUUAGAAUUUAUAUCUCAAAAGAGCGACAUGAGGAUCUAAAGGAUUUAGGAGCAACCAAAGAUAAGUCGAAUUAGAAUUCAACUUCAUCUAGAGCUCGAUUAAACCUAAGAUCAACUCAUGAUUUCCGACCAAAUAAAACCCUUCACAUAAGAAGCAAGCAAGAUAGCCACAUUGUGAAAAGGGGACUGGAUGUGGAAAAAAAGAGAGCAGAGGCUUACUUUAGAGAGCACGUCUGAAAGUAGAAUUGAGAUUGAGUGCACUCAAAAUGAAUCUACAUACAACAUAUUGUUGUUCAAUCCCCUUGGACUACAAACGAAUUGAAUAGAAUAUCAACGAUGUCAUAAUAAGCUAAAGAAACAAGUUCAUAAUAUAAACAACAACUAAACACAGAGAAGUCACAUCAACAUUUUAAUCAUUUAUGCUUAAGAAAUCUGAUAAACAACAUGAAACAAAACUAUCUUGAAUAAUCUAAGACCUCAGAUUUUAUAAACUAAUAAAUAAACUCCUAUUUCACAGAGACCAAAAUGAUAGAAAGUAAACCAAGUAUUAACAUUUUUAUCCGGUUCAUGGAGCAAGAGAUAGAUUCUUAAGGAAAUAAUAGAGGAGUAACUUUUAAUUCGAGUUAGCAAUGCUAUACCCCUUUUUUUUAGAUUGUUUUCAAUCACCAGAUGCUAUACAAAAUCAACCAAGCAACUUGUGCUAUUAAAUCAAAACAAGAUUUCUCAUCUUUACUAAAAGAAGACUGCUAACUUUCUCGAGAAGCUAGGAUUGGAAACUCAAACAACGCACGAGGAAUAAAAGGACACUGGUAGAUACUUGUAAAAUAACCAAUACUAAGACAUUCAACAGAAAAGGACUCAUCAACAUAGAGAAAUUAGGAAACAUAAUCAGCCUUAAUUUGGCUCCAACACAUAAUACAGCAACAUGGACUAAAAUUAAACUAAAUAGAAAAGGAAAAGAAAGAAUUACCUCGUUCUGGGCAGCGACUGGAACAAUGAGUUGAAAAGACGACUCCACUUCUUCAACUCGAAAAGCCACUAAACGUUUUAAAAUUUUUAACUAUGGAACCAAGAAUUCCCAAAACUUUCUGGGUACUCUUUAGUCUCCGAAAAUCGUCCUCUAAAACAGUGAAUGAAGAGGGUUUAUAUAGAAAGGAUUCUAGGUCGAAAUUGAGGGGAAAAUGAUGUGGCAAAAGUUAAGAUUUCAAAUUUUCUCAAAGGAAAAGGUAUAAAAAACAGCUCGAGUAAUACAAAAUUCAUCACCUGGUGACAAAUUUCAACGACUAAGAAAACUAGAGUCGUUCCAUUUAGACGUCAGGACAAGUGAAUCGUUGAUCUCGUUUCCACCUAGCACUGGAGCUUUGUACGAAUCGUCGAUGGAGCAAAGAAAAAGACACCAAAAUAGUACUGGGUACCUGUAAGCGUCUCUCGCAUGAAGAUGAACGCAUAUAGGAGGGUGUUUUAGUAUUGUUGCAUUUCUGAGUAAAUCACGAAGAAGAUGAACAGGGUCAGGUCAUCUGGGUGUUUCUGUAUGCGUGUGUAUUGGAAUAGUGGGCUGGGUUUUCUUUUGUGAACAAUUGAAAGUGGG
rnacentral:lncRNA from 1 species